AACCAUAGAAACCUGCGGAGUACCUGCGGAAGGAUCAUUACCGAGUUUACAACUCCCAAACCCAUGUGAACAUACCUAUCGUUGCUUCGGCGGAUCGCCCCGGGCGCCUUGCGUGCCCCGGAUCCAGGCGGCCGCCGGGGGACCUUAACUCUUGUUUUUACUGAGAAUCUUCUGAGUCGUUUUUACAAAUAAAUAAAAACUUUCAGCAAUGGAUCU
rnacentral:misc_RNA from 1 species